rnacentral:rRNA from 1 species
UACGUAGGGUGCGAGCGUUGUCCGGAAUUAUUGGGCGUAAAGAGCUCGUAGGCGGUGUGUCACGUCGGCCGUGAAAACCUGCAGCUUAACUGUGGGCGUGCGGUCGAUACGGGCAUCACUGGAGUUCGGCAGGGGAGACUGGAAUUCCUGGUGUAGCGGUGGAAUGCGCAGAUAUCAGGAGGAACACCGAUGGCGAAGGCAGCUCGCUGGGACGGUACUGACGCUGAGGCGCGAAAGCGUGGGGAGCGAACAGG